rnacentral:rRNA from 1 species
GACGAACGCUGGCGGCGUGCUUAACACAUGCAAGUCGAACGGAAAGGCCCUGCUUUUGUGGGGUGCUCGAGUGGCGAACGGGUGAGUAACACGUGAGUAACCUGCCCUUGACUUUGGGAUAACUUCAGGAAACUGGGGCUAAUACCGGAUAGGAGCUCCUGCUGCAUGGUGGGGGUUGGAAAGUUUCGGCGGUUGGGGAUGGACUCGCGGCUUAUCAGCUUGUUGGUGGGGUAGUGGCUUACCAAGGCUUUGACGGGUAGCCGGCCUGAGAGGGUGACCGGCCACAUUUGGACUGAGAUACGGCCCAGACUCCUACGGGAGGCAGCAGUGGGGAAUAUUGCACAAUGGGCGGAAGCCUGAUGCAGCAACGCCGCGUGCGGGAUGACGGCCUUCGGGUUGUAAACCGCUUUCGCCUGUGACGAAGCGUGUGUGACGGUAAUGGAUAAAGAAGCACCGGCUAACUACGUG